GAAAUAUGUAAAUUGCAAUCACAGUCAGAAAAUAAAAUAAAAUAAACUACAACUGUUACUAAAGUUUAAAAUUCAACUGUCAAAUUACAAAAGUAAAUCCAAGACAUAAACUAAAAUUGAAAUAAAGUAAGCUAAAUAAACUGCUGCUGUUGAUGUUACUGUCAAGGGUUUGCUGCUGCUGAUGGGUCUACAGGUGGCACAAGGGUUGCUGCAUCAGGUUCUACAGGGUCUUCUUGGUGAUCCGAAGCUUCAGAGGCUGUCUCCAAGUUUUCUGUGAGGUCCUUCAUUUGUUGGAGCAUGUCUUGGCCCCAAUGAUAU
rnacentral:misc_RNA from 1 species